UUCUUAUAAUUAUUUCUAAUAUUUUUAUUUUUUUUCUUAUACAUAUCUAAUAAAAAAAUUCAAUGAAAUGGUAUCCCGUGACACCACGUAGAACAAAGGUAUGUAUCCACUCCAUGAUGAUUCGGAUACCAAAAAGCUAUGAAGUGUAUUUAUAUUCUGUUCUAGAAAUUACAGAUAUUGUUCAAAAUGGUCUUCCUCAACAAAAAACUGAAUAACUUUAUAUCACUUAAUAUUAUUAAUACGUAUCGUAUCUUGAAAAAUAUUUGCCAUGGGUACAAAUUAUAUACAUUGCCACGAAAGAAUAAUGUCUAUGUUGAUAUUCUGCAUCCGCUUAAGUUAAAGCCUUAAUCGUGCAUCGGGACUAAUGUUCUGAGCGACGAAACUAGAAAUUAAAUUAAAUGUAUUCAAAAUUUAAUAUAUAUGCAUAAAAAGUAAUAUUUGACUUAUAUACAUCGUAUAGUUUUUUAUCUAUACUAUAUAUUUUUUUCUAUAUAUGUAAUAUAAUUUUUUAGACAAGAGUGGGUUGCUCUAGCACUUCCAACCAAGAGGUUGUGAGUUCGAGUCACCCCAAGAGCAAGGUGGGGAGUUCUUGGAGGGAGGGAGCCAAGGGUCUAUCGGAAACAACCUCUCUACCCUCCCCAGACUCCACUAGUGGGAUUAUACUGGGUUGUUGUUGUAAUAUAAUUUUUCGGUAAAAGGUGUUCGUUCACCUAUUCACGCUCGAACCUAUAUAUAUGGUACGACACUAAUUUCCUACCGCUCAAAAUAAAAAUAAAUUGAACAAGGAUAGGAAUAUAUCUCUAUCAUAUUCAUCCAUAUUAUCCCACAGGAAUAAGUUCUUUUUGGCCCUUGGCAAUUUACAAAAGGAAAAGGAAAAGAUCCAAAAAAUAUCAUCAAAUAAUAGAGGAAAUGAGAGAAUCCCACUAAGCUAUAACUUGUAUAAAUACCUAUCAUCCCCUCUUCAUUUUCCUCAAGCCAGCCAAAAAACCAAACAAAAUACUCAUCUCAAACAUCCAUUUAAACAUUAACCAUGGCCUCAAUGCAAUGCUACAAAGAAGAAGCUAAGGAUUUUGAUUACUAUAGCCAUGAGAAAUCCUCAGGCACUUACCAAAAACCAACUAACUACUCGAACACUGGUUACCAACAAUCUUACUAUGAGAAAGAAAGGUGUUACGAAACCAACCCUGGAAUGACUGGUUAUGGUACUAGCCACGGCCAUCAACAUGGACUAGGUAACAGAUAUGGUAGCACUAACCCAUGUGGGCCAAUGAUGGGGCAUGGAUCAGACCAUGGUAAAAUGGGCUAUGGCUCGGGCCACAACACUCAUGGAAUGAUGGGCUAUGGCACGGGCCACAACACUCACAUGCAAAAACCUGGGUUCAGUGGAACGGGCUCGGGCGCUUUGGGCCAUGUUAUGGGCUUUGGAAAAAAACAUGAGGGACAUGGUGGCUAUGGAAUGGGGGCAACUUCUGGUUGCACCACCACUUACAAGAAGCAACACCGCAGGAGAAAGGGUGGUUACGGUAGCGGCAGCGACUGUAGCGACAGCAGUGAUGAUGAACGUCGCUGCUAAAUAACUACAGGUAACUGUUCAUAUUAUCUGAAAAAUUAAACAUACAAUCUGUUAUAACAAGUUAAAUUGAACUGAUAGUGUAAAAUUUCUUUUACGCAGAUUUGGUAAGUAGUAGCCUGGCUUAUGAGAAGGAAGAGAGUGAAGUUCCUAGUACUAGCUAGGGAUUAUAUAACAAUAAAUAAAAAGCACAUUUCAGCCAUGGAUUGACUACUGAAGUUAUGAACCUACUAUGGAACUUGAGAAUUUGUGUGUGUGUGUUGGUGUAUUACGUACUUUAUAAUAAUGUAACUGCUUAUUCCCUUUGAAAAUAAAUCUAUGAGAAAAUAACCUAAAAAAAAGGUCUUCUUGUGUGUGCUAUGUUUUCUGCAUGAUGUAAAACCGCUUUGAGUUUAUUACCGUGCCUGUGAGUUUAGUAAUCUGCAUGCAAGAUUAGCAAUUUUGCACCAUACAAACUAAGAAAACCAAAAAAUUUGCUAGGGUUAAAGAUAAAGCAAAUAUGGGCUGAAUAAUUUAUGAUACUCCAUACUUGUAUUUACAGUUACAACUACAAUUCAAAUCGAUCAAACAAUUUCCGAUUAUAAAUCACGGACUUAACACCAGUUAAGUUAAAAUACAUGAAUAAUGAGUCGUAAGAUUCAAAUAAAAAAUUAUAUGAAGAACACCCAAAAUAGAUAACAUAAAUCAAUGCACAAAAUUGAAAAUCAAAUAGAAAGAAAUAUCCUAGCGAAAGGACUAAUCGCAAUCUUGAAUAGGUAUAGGAAGAAAUUAAUCGCUUUCCAUCGAGGUAAAGGCAAGUCACACAUUUCAAGAUAGGAGUAAAAGGGCGGUGCACUAAGCUCUCACUAUAUGCGAGGUUCGGACCACAAGGGUCUGUCGUACGCAGCCUUAAGCAUUCUAAAUUGGAGUCAUGGGAAAAUAUUCUUUAACUUAAGCAUUCUAAAUUGGAGUUUUUAAACAACUCCGUGCAAAUCAAUCAACAAAUACAAACUCAGUCAAUUAAGAUUCCUAUUUAUGGAAAAAGGAUAACAAGUUUAACCACCUGGGGAUUGCUAGAUUGUUUUGAUGAAGCCACCAAUCGAGUUGAUUGCUGCAAAUGAAGCACACAAGGAACUGGAAUAUGUCCAUUCUUUUUUCGCCUAUUCUGCCUAUGUAGUGAAACAUUAAGAAUCUGAAAAAAUGAGAUGAAAGUGUUAAGCAACUUAAUCAUGGGUUUAAACCUGAAACAUGUCCAUUCAAUUUCGUGCCUCCCUACUACUGCUGAAAAGUUAAGAUUCUGUUUAUCCAAUUUAGCACCAUAUCAAUGACUAUUCAAUGAAGUGGUAAGGUGGCCAAAGUAUUAUGACUAUUUGCAGUACACUAAAGGGCAUCCCGUUGCACUAAACUCCCGCUAUGCGCAGAACCAUAAGGGUCUAUUGUACACAGUCUUGCCCUGCAUUUCUGCAAGAGGCUGUUUCCACGACUAUUUGCAGUACACUAACCAAGGAAAUUGGAAAAGGUUGACAAGCAGGUCUAAUAAGGUUUGUGAAUCCAUUAACCAUCCCACUGUGCCUCAUACUCAGAGGCUGAUACAUCAGCUCGGGUCGUGCAGGUACUUGUAGAACACCAGGGGCUCGGUAGUAAAGAGGGGGGUAUCCACCAGGAAAAAAAGCUGAACAUUCAGUGGCUCCUGCAAUUCCUUGUGCAUGCAUAUGUUGUAAUUGAGCUUGCCUUGCCUCUUUCCUUUGAGCAAUAGCUACAUACAACGGCUUUUGGCCAAACAUAAAUCCUGUGAAACGCCUCACAACAUCAAUAUACUUAACAGGACAUUAAGAGAGAGAAUCUUUUAACUUUCAGUACAGAGAAUUUUGAAGCCAUACUUCUACAGCACUAGCAUCUCAUCUUGUACAGACUCAACAAGAGCACGUAGGAUGCAGUAAAACAGAUGAAGAUGCCAACUUAAUUAUAUGAUAAAUAAUCAUACCAUUACAAAAAUAUAAGCCGUCAAACUUUGAAGAGCAGAUGAAUAAUAUGAGAGAAAACUGAAGGGAAAACGAAAGGGGAAGGCAUCUGUUAAUUUUCCUUCAAGACAUACCUUAGUUUUUCUGUGUAUCAAAAGAGACACAUAAAAUAGCAGUAAGGAAAUUUGUAGGAGUUCAUGAGAGAACACUGUUGCUGAAUAAUGCGUGGCAUCACAUAAUAACAUGUGGUGUAGCACUAUGUACUAGACCAAAUAAUCUAGGCAUUCCUGGCAAUGAUUUCCACAAAAAACUUUACAGCUACGGUUCAGACAAGCUAGUACAGAAACUGAUGGUUUCAAUCAUAAGAACUAGAUGAAUUCAAGUCGCUAUACUGCUUAUUUACUGUCCUUCAUAUUUCGGCUCAAAUGUCACUUCUUUGUUGCGUCCCUAUUACAAGUGGCUCUACUAUUGUUCUUCUAUUUCUCAUUCCCCUUUCAUCUUGAUCCCCAAUUCCCUGGCAAUACCUUCUUGGCUCUGAGUACGUGUCCUUAUUUGGAAGUUCAAAAGUUAACAAAUGGGAGUAAUAAAUCUUUGGUAAAAUAAAAAACUUUUUUCUUCUAGUCCAUGCCUUGAUCAGAAGUAUGAAAUGUGAGGUCAUAUUCACCUUCAAAGUUGAAACUCUCCAGAGAGCCAGCUUUACUUGUAUAGCAUCUCAAUUUAGCCAGUUCAUCUGACUAGAGCACAUCUUAAGAGAAGAAGGUACCAGUACAUUUCUAAAAGUAGGCUGUGUUAGAGAUAUGUUCAAAUUAUAUUUCAGAUACAAGGAAGUAGGACUUUUGUUAAUCUGUUACACCCCGACUAAAACAACUCAAGGUUGUAUUACUUACUGCAAUUUUUUUAUCUAGAGGUAGUGGAUAAAAAAAUUAAAAAAAAAUAAAAAAAUCUAGAGGUAGUGAUGGGUUUGACAGACAUCUCCUUGUGUAUUCUCAAAACCCAUAAGGCAUGAAGGAGAGGAACAUAGAAUCGGACCUCUUCAUAACCAAAUGAACAGAUGAAAAAGUUAAUCGUUUUACAAAAGAAUGUCUCUAUGAUUCUAUGAAGACUAGUUGGGUGUGGUUACAUAAAGGAACAUCCAGCUAUGCAAUGGUUUAAAAAUGUAAUUUGGGGGGGAGGGGAUGCAGCCUUUUUCGAAGAGUGAUCAUAAGGUUAUAAAGUAAAUAGCAGAACCAUUCUGAAGUGAAUUUCUUGGUUUGCCUUAUAGCUUCAAAUGUCCUCUACUUACAAGCAGUGAGUGAACCAAGAAAAAGUAUGGCAGAAAGCUGUGAAAGUGCUUCAGCAAUUAAUUUCAGAAAAUUGGAUGGACUAAAAGAGAAAUUAGAUCUACUAUAUUUUGACUAGAGGGAGUAAUAAUAUUGAAGUUUCUAAACUUGAAACAAGAAAAUUAAUUACCAUAAAAUGCACAAAAGUAACAGUUACCACAGAGGAUUCAAAGGUACUUUCCUACCUUCUGUGCUUGACUUUGUCAUAUCAACGAACCUGGAGAAGAUAACAUAAUUCAUUCAAUAAAUUCUCAAAAUAAUGUGCCCUUACUCAGGUUCACACAGGAUGAUUGAAGAAGGUUAUUGAUAAAAUAGUUGCAGGAAACCAAAAUGCAUUCAUUAGAGGGAGACAAAUAAUAGGUGCCGCAAUGGAGGAUAACGAAUACCUUGAUUUGAGAUUGAAACGGACAAGCUCAAAAGUACUUUGCAUAUUAGAUUUUAUAAAAGCAUAAUUGAGCUUCUUUUUUCAGUAUGUCGAAGAAGAUGGGUUUUGGGAGAAAACGGGUUAGAGCAUGUAUAUCAACUUUUUAAAAUGCUAUGUGGUCAUUAAUCCAGCUCUAGAACACUUCUCUCCCCAUAAAGAGGCUUGAGACAUGGUGAUUUUGUCACCAUUUCUGUUCUUAUCAGUAAUGAUAGCAUUCAACUUAGUACUGAACAAAGCUUUAAAUUACAACUGGUUAGCAAGGUUUCCAGGUGGCUAAUGGACCUAGUAAUAGGAUGGAAGUAUCUCAUGUUCUUUUUGCUCACUAUACCCUUAUUCUAUGAGGAGCAGAGGAGUCAACUACUGUAUUUGAAGGCUAUUUACUGGCUUUAGAGAAAAUUUCAGGCCUUCAUAUGAUUCAACGCCAAAAGUUGUCUUUUCUGGGUUAAUGCAUGCCAGAGCAUCCAUAAACUGGCAGACACCUUCAGAGCUAAAAGCAUGUGAAAAAAUGUCAUUGAGAAAUCUGAAAGAAUAUUAAUGUCGUGGAUGGAAUGCCAACUUACACCCUCAGCAUCAAGGAACAUGUACUGGGGUGUAUGUGAGUGGAAAACCAUUUCAAAAUCAAUAAAUUAAGAUAAAUCUGAGUUUGAUCAGGAAUUUCCCCCAUUUUUGCAUCAUUGAAACGUCCCGAAUACAAAUGUGUGCCAAUGUCGAAGAGAAGCUAAGCAAAUUAAGGAGUGAUUCCCUGGGGAAGGCAAUCACGAUUCACGACAAGAAAAUGGUGGCACCUAAUGAGAUGGCAAACACCAAAGAAGAGCAAAAGAGAAGGCGUUCUUGGAAUAAAGGGUUAUUUCUUUUCAUAAGUAAAUUUUCAUUAAUGAAACACUACAAAGAGGGCAACAAAGCAGAUCAUGAAAUGUUCUAGACUUGUAAACAGACUACUCAAAAACAGCAUCUAGCAAGUCCAUGAAAUCAUUAAUACUAAUUACAGGUUCUCCUUUAAAUUUGUAUACAUCUGUACCUUGCAGCAUAAAAAGAUUCCUUUUUUCCUUCAAAACAUCUCUCGUUCCUUUCAAGCAAAACUGUCCAUAUGAUGCAUAAAGGAAUUUGCUUCCAAGUCUUCUUCGAACUUCUAUCCAUGCCUUGAACCUGCCAACUGUCAAGUAGCUCCAUAAAAUUUUGUGCCAUCGCCAACUGUCAAUGCACCCCAUAACAUAUUUAGAAGUAGCAUCCAGAUCAUCCAAGUGUGCUUGCAUUGCAGAAGCAAGUGACUAUCUGUUUCAGUGUCAGAUUCACACAAAAAGUAUUUAUUGCAGAGGUUAUACCCUCUCCUCUGCAAGUUACCCUGCACUAGACAUGCACCAUGCGCAGAAAUCCACCAAAACAUACAACCCUAGAGGCUAUAUGGAGCUUUGGUUAGCAUCUGCCAAGGCCAGUGAAUUUCAGAAUCACCAGCUUGUUUUUUCAGUAGUUCAUAACACGAUUUCACAGAGAAAUUUCCAUCCUUACCUCCUGACCAUAACAAAGAAUCCUCCUUGUCUUCUUCAUGUGCGAUAACCUGGAAUAAUUGCAUGAAAUCACUAAAUUCAUCCAUCUUCCGAUCAUUGAGUCCUCUUCUAAAUUGAGAAUCUCAUUCAGAGCUGGAAAUACAAUCAGCUAUCAUAGCUUCCUGAUUCGAAGUUAAACUGAAUACUCUUGGUAAAAGAUCUUUCAGCAAGCCUUCAUCACACCAUUUCUCAGUCCAAAGUUUAAUUUUUCUCCCAUUACCCACUUUUAAUUUGAUAUUAUCCUUAAACUCUACCCAACUAUUUGCUUCAACAUGGCCACCCGUAGGGAGUAUUCACUACUUUUGGCUCUCAGUAACUCUCCAUGCCAUAUUUUGAAAUAACAAUACUGUGUUUCUACCGUCAUUUAGCCUCCAUGGCUUUAGAGACUUAAAGAUGAUAGAAAAGACUUACUGAAAAGAGUGAUCAUAAGUAAAUAUAGUAUAGGAAAAGAUCAGUUCACUUAACCAGUUAGUCUAACUCAUGGAGUCACAGUUUAGAAACAUAUUGGAGCCUAUGGGAGGAAUUCUUGGACGAGGUAAAAUAGAAAUAAGCGAUGGGAAAAGAGCAGAAAAUGCAGUUGAACAAAUCAAAAGAAGAUCAAUAAAUGGAUAGAUACUGAAAGGUAUAUUCUCUGACCUAUAUGUGUUGCUGGUUAUUAGAAGGAAAGCACUAAUGCAGAAUGCGAGUGGAGGGAAUCGGAUUUUCCAGUUUAAAGGAGAAUCAACCGGGAGAUUAGUAGAGUGAUGCACCUCUAAAACUCCUUAAGCAUGUUAAUCAGUAUACAUAUCAAAGGGGUAACCUGCAACGGAUGGAAACGGGGAUGGUUAGUUUUCAGUAAGAUCAUGCUAUAGCUUACUGCAAAGAGACAGGUUGGGGGAACAGCUGCAAAAUGGGCUAGGAGAACGAUAUGGAAAGCAAAGGCACCAUCAAAAGUAGAUUGGUUUUGGAUGGACUGCAGUACACAAUGCAUGCUUGGAACAGGAUAAUUUGCAGAAAAGAAGUUACAACUUGUGCAGCAGGCGUGAUUUUUGUGAAGGAAAAAGCAGAAUCAGUCAAUCACGUUCUUUUGCAUUUUCGAUACAUAUGGAAGGGUUGGUGCAUGUUGCUAAUCCAAUAUUGAUGCAGCGGUGAUGCUAGGGGAACAGAAUCAAGCAUUAGACAGCUGGAAGGGAGCCAGAAAUGAGGAAGGAACAGAGGCAUAUAUGGAAAUCAAUUUUUUUAAGUGUAUGCUGGACAGUUUAGCUUGAAAGAACUCAUGCUUCGAAGAAGACUUAUCUUUUGUAAACUAUGAUGUAUAAAAAGUUUGAAUCUUAUAGCGAAGUGUGUUUUGCAAAUGAUACAGAAUUUGUACUUGAGUUCAUUGAUCCCAUACAUAAUUGAGGGAUCAAAUCCAGAUACUUCCAUACCUAGUCAGUUCUUCCUUGGUGCCUUUAAUAAGUUUACUUAUCAAAAAGUUCCAGUUGGUUGUCCCUUAAUCUUAAAUAAAGAAUCAAAGCAACCAAGUAAAUCAAAAUAAAUAUGAUAAAGCAUCAGAAAAUGUAAAUGAAUGAAGCAAAUAGCAUACAACUCUUAUUGAACAGCUUCACAUUGUAACAGAUGCAAGUCUUUUUAUCUCGGACACCAUAUACAUUGGUAGAUAAUGUCAUUCUUGAGUAGGAGAUAAGUGUGUGCACAAGCAGCCCUAACUACUAUGGUUUACAAUUGAAGCCUGGAUCGGACCUGCUUCAUCCUCCAACACUUCGCACCUAGGCCGUGUAUUUCUGUAUGCAUAAAUAAAACACGAAGACAUCUAAAAGACAUGUUGGCAGGAGCUAGAAUGUAGGAUGAGAAUCAAAUUAAAGAGUUAAUAUUAGCAAACUGAAUCCUCAAUCAUCUAGAAAUAGCAUUUAUUAAAUAAUAAAUACAUAGUAACAUUUAUGCAUUGCAAUGAAGAAAAAUAUUAUAUCUAACUUAACUUCAAACAUAAUUUUGAAAAACAAAUAAAUAACCAAAGUUACAAGAGACAAUAACUCCCAAUGAUCUGAGGCGCUGAGUCAAGACAUGGAGGCGAGUGCAUUAUGAGGUUGAUGGUUUGACCCAAGUUGGUGGGGAAAGAGUACUUUGUAAGCUCCCAUAUCUCUUCCACUACCACCUCCCUCAUUCUUAAUCUCGUACCAAUCAUCGGUAAAAUAUAUGUGAUUAGGCUUGACUCCUUUAAACUUAGAGGACUCAAUCGAACUUGCUCCACUAAGGCCCAAAAAAAUUGCGGAAUCUCCCAAGUUGUUAAUUUCCAUCAAUUCACCUUUGAUUAUAUCUAAUUCAUACACUUUAAUUUUAAAGGUCUGACCUCCAUUUCCAUGGGAAUAUCGGGUAACGAAUAACAGUGAAUUGGAUACCUCAACUAGGUAGAACUGAACUGAAUAUUGACGAAACAUAUCAUCCUUUAGGGAAAAAAGCAAUUGUGGCUUAACAAUUGGUUGAGGAGUGGCAGUUCCUGCAAUGUCAAAAACCCAAACUUGGCCACGCCAUGUCACACAAUAAAAUUUCCCAUUAUAGUAAUUCAUUGAUGUUACUGCACCCGCUUUUGCAAUAUCAAUUUUAGUCCAGUUAAGAUCUCCAGGUCGCCAAAAAGCCAAAAGAUCAUAGUUUGCAUAAUAAGAAACCACCAGUACAUAAUCUGAUGAAACUGAAGGAUUGGCAGAUAAGACAGCUUUGUCCAUAUAGUGCCAGAACUCUCCUUUCAAUAGUUCUUCGUAACCAUGAAAACCCCAAAAUUCUUUUUCUGAAGGAAGUUGAAUUUGGGUACGGGAGAAAGGAUUCAACAAAUUCAUCUCUCCGUUAUAUGCACAGUGCAAAGCCAUCCCUCCGUUGGAAAACACUCUCUCCCUCUAACUUCGGGGAGAUAUAUGCGUGAAAUUUUCUGCUUGGAAAGUGAGUAAAAUUCUCGAUAAUCUUCAUCUUUAUCAGCCAACAUUAGCAAUGGAACUUGGGGCGAAAACACAUCGAAAUUUUUCUUUGUAGCAGCAGUUCGCCAAGAGGUAUAAACGACACCAAAAGAAACGAAAUCUUCAAUCACUUUAACACGGUUUGCAAUCUGAGUAAGGAGAUCGUAAGGCAACUCUGCCCACUUCGACAUAGCUCUGAAAGAAAAAACGAUGUAACGUUGCUAGGAAUCCGAUGCUGACGAGAACUUUGGUGAAAUCUAGUUCGAGUUCGAUUUUACGAUUCUCAAAUAUUUUUGUAAAAUUUAAUUUGGGUGAAUUUUGAUUUAAAAUUAAAAAUUUGUUUGGACUGUCAAUUGUUUUUUUCGACUUUUACCAACUUAUUUUUAGUUUUAUGAUCUUAACUCUUUUUUUUACAUAUGGGAGAUUUAGUUUUACACAUAAGAGAUUUACUUUUACACAUAAGAGAUCUUUCAUUUACACAUAAGAGAUUUAAAAAGAUAUUUUCUUAAAUUAAACAUUGUAAAAGGCCAAGAAGACCUAAAACCUCUAAAUUUUGAGUCAAGUUUUGACAUGUUAUAAAGUCUUUUUUUUCAGAAAUAAUCUUAAAUAGUCAUGAGUUGACCCAAAAAACUGAACAAUUUUAUAUCACUUAAUAUUAUUAGUGCGUAGAGUAUCUUGAAAAAUAUUUGCCAGGGGUACAAAUUAUUGAGUAUAUAUUGCCACGAAAGAAUAAUGUCUAUGUUGAUAUUCUGCAUCCGUUUAAGUUAAACCCUUAAUCGUGCAUCUGGACCAAUUUCAUGAGUGGCGAAUCUAGAAAUUAAAUUAAAUAUAUUUAAAUAUAUAUAUAUAUAUAUAUAUAUAUAUAUAUAUAUGUAUAUAUAUAAGGUAAUAUUUAACUUAUAUAUAUCGUUUAAUUUUUUUUAUAUACGAUAUAAUUUUUUAUAUACUUAAUACGAUAUUGCGGUAAAAGAUGUUUGCCUAACCACACUUGAGCGGUAAUGAUUUCCUACCGUUCAAAAUAAAANNNNNNNNNNNNNNNNNNNNNNNNNNNNNNNNNNNNNNNNNNNNNNNNNNNNNNNNNNNNNNNNNNNNNNNNNNNNNNNNNNNNNNNNNNNNNNNNNNNNNNNNNNNNNNNNNNNNNNNNNNNNNNNNNNNNNNNNNNNNNNNNNNNNNNNNNNNNNNNNNNNNNNNNNNNNNNNNNNNNNNNNNNNNNNNNNNNNNNNNNNNNNNNNNNNNNNNNNNNNNNNNNNNNNNNNNNNNNNNNNNNNNNNNNNNNNNNNNNNNNNNNNNNNNNNNNNNNNNNNNNNNNNNNNNNNNNNNNNNNNNNNNNNNNNNNNNNNNNNNNNNNNNNNNNNNNNNUCAUCCAUGUAUCCCACAAGAAUAAGUUCUUUUGGCCCUUGGCAAUUUACAAAAGGAAAAGGAAAAGAUCCAAAAAUCAUCAAAUAAUGGAGGAAAUGAGAGAAUCCCACUAAGCUAUAACUUGUAUAAAUACCUAUCAUCCCCUCUUCAUUUUCCUCAAGCCAGCCUAAAAACCAAACAAAACACUCAUCUCAAACAUACAUUUAAAAAAUCCAUUAACCAUGGCCUCAAUGCAAUGCUACAAAGCAGAAGGUAAGGAGUUUGAUUGCUAUAGCCAUGAGAAAUCCUCAUGCACUUACCAAAAACCAACUAACUACUCGAACUCUGGUCACCAACAAUCUUACUACGAGAAAGAAAGGUGUUACGAAACCAACCCUGGAAUGACUGGUUAUGGUACUAGCCACGGCCAUCAACAUGAACUAGGUAACGGAUAUGGUAGCACUAACCCAUGUGGGCCAAUGAUGGGCCAUGGAUCAGACCAUGGUAAAAUGGGCUACGGCUCGGGCCACAACACUCAUGGAAUGAUGGGCUAUGGCACGGGCCACAACACUCACAUGCAGAAACCUGGGUUCAGCGGAAUGGGCUCGGGCGCUUUGGGCCAUGUUAUGGGCUUUGGAAAGAAACAUGAGGGACAUGGACAUGGACAUGGUGGCUAUGGAAUGGGGGCAGCUUCUGGUUGCACCACCACUUACAAGAAACAACACCAUAGGAGAAAGGGCAAGGGUGGUUACGGUAGCGGCAGUGGCAGCGACUGUAGCGACAGCAGCGACGAUGAACGUCGCUGCUAAAUAACUAUAGGUAAUUGUUCAUAUUAAGUGAAACUAGUUAUCUGAAAAAUUACUUUCUUUUUCUUUCCUUGAGUCGGGGUCUAUCGAAAACAAUCUCUCUACCCUCAAGGUAGGGGUAAAGUCUGCAUACACACUACCCUCCUCAGGCUCCACUCGUGGGAUUAUACUGGGUUUUUCGUUGUUGUUGUUAUUGUUAUCUGAAAAAUUAAAUAUAUAAUCUCUUAUAACAAGCUAAAUUGAACUGAUAGCGUAAAAUUUCUUUUACGCAGGUUUGGUAAGUAGCGGCCUGGCUUAUGAGAAGGAAGAGAGUGAAGUUCCUAGUACUAACUAGGGAGUAUAUGACAUUAAUAAAUAAGAAGCAGGUUUUAGCCAUGGCUAGCUAUUGAGUAUUGACUACUGAAGUUAUGAACCUAUGGAACUUGAGAAUUUGUGUUUGUGUGGUGGUGUAUUACGUGCUAAUAAUGUAACUGCUUAUUCCCUUUGGAAAUAAAUCUAUGAGAAAAUAACCCAAAAAAGGUCUUCUGGUGUGUUAUGUUUUCUGCAUGAUAUAAAACCGCUUUGAAUUUAUUACUGU
rnacentral:lncRNA from 1 species